CUUCGUCGAUCUGCUGCGGGCAGAUGAAGUGGAUGUGCGUGUCGAUGCCGCCAGCGGUGACGAUCAUGCCCUCGCCGGCGAUGAUCUCGGUGCCGGCGCCGAUCGCAAUGGUGAUGCCGGGCUGGAUGUCCGGGUUGCCGGCCUUGCCGAUCGCGGCGAUGCGGCCUGCCUUGAUCGCGAUGUCAGCCUUGACGAUGCCCCAGUGGUCCAGGAUCAGCGCGUUGGUGAUCACCGUGUCGGCCACUUCAUGCGAGAGCUUCUGGCCCUGGCCCAUGCCGUCGCGGAU
rnacentral:sRNA from 1 species